rnacentral:lncRNA from 1 species
CCAAUGUUGUUUCCUGCAUUUUUUAAGCUCUCAAAACACCUAAUUCAGAAUGUAAAAUUACAUUUUAGAAGAGGAUAUCUAGAAUGUAAAACUUAAUAUUUUGAAGAGAUCUUUCCGGAUUUCAAAAUAGGCGCAGGAAGCAAAUGAGAGGUGAAAAAAUAUUUUUCUAUCAACAAUGACAAGAUUUUCAAGUAAUAGGACAUAGUCCUUUUCCUUGAGUCUUU